GUUAUGUUAGUUCUAGUUUGGCAGGGGGAAGAUAGCAAAGAAGUUUGAGCCAAAGACUCAGUGAUAUUUGUGAACUUGAUUCGUGUCCUCUAAAAUGUCGUAGAAAUUGGUUUCUUCAGGAAGCCUUCCCUGCUUCUCUAGUUUGAGAGCUUACAAAAAGCUUGAUUGAAAAGAGAAGAGAAUGGAACACGGUAUGAUGACAACAAAGAGAAAAGGAGCCAAGAUUAGUCUGGACAGUAUGCAGACAUUGACUCUGCUUUGAGGACAGAGCUGGAAUUAAUUUCACGUGCACCACAUAAG
rnacentral:lncRNA from 10 species